rnacentral:rRNA from 1 species
GACGAACGCUGGCGGCGUGCUUAACACAUGCAAGUCGAACGAAGUGGCGAACGGGUGAGUAACGCGUACUCAACCUGCCCUUCAGAGGGGGACAACAGUUUGAAACGAAUGCUACUACCGCAUACUGAAGGCGGGGAUUGCGUCGGGUUAGCUAGUUGGGGGGGUAACGGCCCACCAAGGCGAUGAUAAGUAGCCGGUCUGAGAGGGUGAACGGCCAAAUUGGGACGGGGAACGGGCCCAGACUCCUACGGGAGGCGGCAGAGGGGAAUCUUCCGCAAUGGACGAAAGUCUGACGGAGCAACGCCGCGUGAGUGAUGACGGCCUUCGGGUUGGAAAGCUCUGUUAAUCGGGACGCGGUACCGGAAUAGAAGGCCACGGCGAACUACGUGCCAGCAGCCGCGGUAAUUC